AGCGGCGAGGCUAUUCCAGUAA
rnacentral:miRNA from 1 species